UACGGAGGAUCCGAGCGUUAUCCGGAUUUAUUGGGUUUAAAGGGUGCGCAGGCGGGAGAUUAAGUCGGCGGUGAAAUUUUGCGGCUCAACCGUAAAAGUGCCUUCGAUACUGGUGGUCUUGAGUGUGGAUGAGGUAGGCGGAAUUUGUGGUGUAGCGGUGAAAUGCAUAGAUAUCACGAGGAACUCCGAUUGCGCAGGCAGCUUACUAAACUACUACUGACGCUCAGGCACGAAGGCGUGGGGAGUCAAACAGGAUUAGAUACCUCCGUAGU
rnacentral:rRNA from 1 species